UACAGAGGUCUCAAGCGUUGUUCGGAUUCAUUGGGCGUAAAGGGUGCGUAGGCGGUAGUGCAAGUCAGGUGUGAAAUCCCGGAGCUCAACUCCGGAACUGCACUUGAUACUGCUUUACUAGAGUACUGGAGAGGAGACUGGAAUUUACGGUGUAGCGGUGAAAUGCGUAGAUAUCGUAAGGAAGACCAGUGGCGAAGGCGGGUCUCUGGACAGUUCCUGACGCUGAGGCACGAAGGCCAGGGGAGCAAACGGG
rnacentral:rRNA from 1 species